rnacentral:lncRNA from 1 species
UGAGUUUCCAGAAGCAGAGAGAGAUAAGACCCAUGAUAAUCAAGCCAUAAACAGAUGCAUUUACUAGCUGAAUGGCCAACAAUGGAAUUCAACAAAUCCAUCUUGAGCACGGCAGCCAGGAGUGUGGUGCAAUUCCAUUAGAUGAAAGAGAUCUACACAUUCAGAAGCACAUGAUUCUUCCCCCUUCCAUGAUUCCAGUGGCCAAUAGACAAACUACAAUAAAGCCAUGCCCUGACUGGAUGUGCCUAACAUUUGUCUGGUGCUUAAAGGAGUUGGCUGCAUGCGUGGGAUGGAGAAGGAUUCAACAUUUAAUGGCAGUUAGAAUCAAAUUUUUAACUCAAGAAGGCAGAAGGAAUCCACCUAAAUAAAUGUUGGAAAGUCACCAAAAAUAGUUCUCCAAGUCAGAAGCGGUGCAAAAGCUGCCUCAGCUCUUGGUGGAUUUUCAAUUUCUCCCAGCCAUCUCUGUUUCGCUAAAGGUUUCUGAAGACAGUGGGGGAAGCUUUUUUCUCCUCCCCAUCCUGAUCACUAGUAUGAGAAGGGGUGCUAAUGGACCAGCCUUGGCCUUGCAGAUGAAGAUGAUGAAGGAAGAAGAUGUAUAAAGAACCUCUGAAAGAGUCCCAGUUUUACAUUUCAAAGUCUUUUUCCUUCUGUUGUUUAUUGUGUUGGGUUGGAGUGGAGGAUAUUUGAUGGAGAAUUGAUUCUGAAACUUGCCAAAAUAUGGAUAAUACUUUGCUCCUUUUCCAUUGUGGGUUAUCACAAAGAAGAGUUUCACUUUUAGUCAUCUAUUUACAGAUAAUGAAGAUAUUAUACCAUUAUAUGCUCUUGAAUCUGUCUCAUUGUGACUUGGCGAAGAGGCAGUGAAUCUGCCAAAAAGAAGUAGAGCAGCUGUGAAGAUGCCAACACAAUUGAGUACUCUUUCUCUACAUAUUUCUAAAUAUGGCAAUUUAUUGGACACUUAUGAGCAUGGAAUGACAAUGGGGUCAAUUUAACCAUACGGCAAUGCUGAGACACCUUCAUUAUGACCUUUCCCUGGUAUAAGUUAUGUGAUAAUGAAUGCAUGUUUAGUCACACACUGUAGGUACAGAUGGGAAAAAAGAAAGCAUAAAAUAUAAAACAUGAUGUCCAGGUUUCAAAUAAGAAUUCUAAAAUGUUAUUUAAUUAAUGAAAUGAAAAUACUUUACUUUAGAAAAAGAAUAUUGAA